GAUCUGAUCGUGCCUCCUGCUAUUGCUUACCAGAGACAGGUGCCCAUGGCACAACGCAGGGCUGCUGCACUCAAACUCGGCCGCCCUUCAUUUAAUUCAAAGGAAGCUCAAUGUUGUUCUUCAGCUGGCUGAGGACACAGCGAUGGCGUAGCUCAUUUGCUUCAUUUUCUACAUGGAAAGAUACAGUUUGAUUUGGAAAGUGACUUGAUUUGAGACAGCUGCCUGAGGUCUCUUCCACUUUCGGCUCUUCUGCCUCACUUCCCCUCUCAGGAGCCACUGGUCAUGAUUGUGGGCAUCUGUGUCACAACAUGGCUCACAGAGACCACCAGGAUGCUCAAGACGAAGUUCUAGGGAACUGGACUGCUGAGGUAUCCGUGAAGAGGAGGUGCUGCUGCUGAGCUGUGGACUGAACGGCCGAUGUCCAGACAACACGGAUGGAGUCGCUCCAAAGAACCUUCCUAACAUGUUGGUCCACUUCCCCCGUAUCCUUCCUUUUCCACUACCUCUGGUGGGUGUUGGGCUAAAAGGGAGGUAAGAACCGUCAUUAAAAAUAGGUUCUGAAAAGAAAAUAAAGUCACGACAACUG
rnacentral:lncRNA from 1 species